UGCCAGCAGCCGCGGUAACACGGGGGGCGCAAGCGUUAUUCGGAAUUAUUGGGCGUAAAGGGCGCGCAGGCGGUCUUGUCCGUCAGGUGUGAAAGCUCGGGGCUCAACCCCGGAAGUGCACUUGAAACAGCAAGACUUGAAUACGGUAGAGGAGAGAGGAAUUCCUGGUGUAGAGGUGAAAUUCGUAGAUAUCAGGAGGAACAUCAGUGGCGAAGGCGACUCUCUGGACAACUCCUGACACUGAGGCACGAAGGCUAGGGGAGCAAACAGGAUUAGAUA
rnacentral:rRNA from 1 species